GGGCUUGUGGUUUAGUGGUAUAAUUUUCCCUUAGCAUUGGCGUGCCUUACAGCAUUGCGAAUACGUGGGAAAGGUCCUGGGUUCGAUUCCCAGCAAGUCCA
rfam:Paraphaeosphaeria sporulosa strain AP3s5-JAC2a unplaced genomic scaffold CC84scaffold_2, whole genome shotgun sequence.